rnacentral:rRNA from 1 species
ACACGACUACAUUAGAUACCCCUGUAGUCCCAGCCCUAAACGAUGCGCGUUAGGUGUAUCGGUGACCACGAGUCACCGAGGUGCCGAAGGGAAACCGUGAAACGUGCCGCCUGGGAAGUACGGUCGCAAGGCUGAAACUUAAAGGAAUUGACGGGGGAGCACCACAACGGGUGGAGCCUGCGGUUUAAUUGGACUCAACGCCGGGAAGCUCACCGGAUAAGACAGCGGAAUGAUUGCCGGGCUGAAGACCCUGCAUGACCAGCUG